UAAAAUAUACAUUCAAUACCGAUUGUUUUUUCUAAAAAAUUAAAAACGUUUUUUUUUUAACAUUUUAAAAAAUAAUUAAAAAUAUCUCUAAAAUUUUAAUCAAAAGAAGUCACAACUAAUUUGAGCCGAUACCAUAAUCAUUUGUUUCUUAGUAGUACUCCAUAAGCUUACAAACUAGAGUAAAUGUUUAAAUUUUGAAACAAGUUGUU
rnacentral:lncRNA from 1 species